UACGUACCGUCCGAACGUUAUUCGGAAUUACUGGGCUUAAAGGGUUUGUAGGCGGCCUUGUAAGUCAGGUGUGAAAUCCCUCGGCUCAACCGAGGAAUAGCGCUUGAUACUGCAAGGCUUGAGGGAGACAGGGGUAAGCGGAACUGAUGGUGGAGCGGUGAAAUGCGUUGAUAUCAUCAGGAACACCGGUGGCGAAAGCGGCUUACUGGGUCGCUUCUGACGCUGAGGAACGAAAGCUAGGGUAGCGAACGGG
rnacentral:rRNA from 1 species